GCAGGGCUGGUUGCUCAUAAUCCCGGGCAAAUGCUGUUCCCGCUCUGGCCUGGUCACUUUUAUGGUCACACCACCGUCCAGUUGUGCUCCCACUAUAUAUAGUUUGACUCAUACGGUCAAUCGCAGAUCAUCUCUCAAUACUUCUUGACUUGAUAACUUUUGGUACCUGUCACCUGCUUUUGGAGCAAACUGAUGAAUGAUCAGGACAAUUUUUAGCUCGUGUCCCGGCGAGUCGUCAGUCUGAGAUCACGGGCCGUCAGCUUCCGGCCCGCCGUGUUUUUCUUGGGAGGAAUGAGGUGUUGUCAGAGGUCCCUCUGCUGUCGCUGACUCCAGGGUCCUCCCAUACAGGAUUUGGAGCAGACUUGGCUCUCUGGGCUUCCAAGGAAACCUGGGAGGAAACUGAGCAAUGCUGAUGAGCAGCAGAGAACACGGCGGUGGAAUGUGAAUAAACGCAGCGUCAGUAAAUGAUGAC